UGACCUUCUUCUUCUCCCUCCCCAGCCGAGGGCUGGAUAUUAGCGAAUUGAAGUCAGUCAGCGUCCUUGCCUCCUUUUUGACCUUGCCCUCGGUGAUGGCCUGCACGUUUCCUUCCUCAGCUCGACUGUCCAAGCGCUUCCGGCUCUUCUUGCCAAAUUUAUCUGUUCUUUGAGGAACAGGGCUUUCUGUCAAGGAGAGCACUUCCUGGAAGGUGUCUGCUGUCUCCACCAUCACCUCUGUGCCCACGUGGCCCUGCAGCUCCGCGGCGGGGGAGACAUCACCGGCUUCUCCCACCCACAAGGAGCGGUUUGGGGGGCAAGGUGCCCUGGGGGUUCUGUACGGGUGGGCAGGCGCUGUAGGAACUCACGGGUGCAAGGCGAUUGUGGCAGCUGUAAACUAGAGCAGGCGCUACUUCCCGGGUAAUGGGUGGCAAAGGGCAAUAGGGAGGUUGGAUGGAUAACCUGGCUGAAGCACAACUGUGGGCUCCUGCUGUGCAAACUGUGUUGGGGCCAGAGCUUCUUUGGGGGAGCAUGGAGGCUGCAUUCCCUGAAGGGGAGGGGCACUGUAGCUUCCUGGGUAAGGUACUCCAACCCCAUAACUCGUCUGGAAAGUGGCAGUGGGACUGGUUGGAGAUUUGGGGGAAACAAACGGUACUCGAGACAUAUCCAGAUGUUGAGCUUGACCGAUGAUGAGAGGAGUAGGUUUUAGAGGGUUGGGCACUGAGCUCUGAGAUGUCCUUUCCUGAGGAACCCAUAUCUCUUCACUCACCAUGGGGUCCCACUGGUACGGCGGUGGCCGUUUUACACCGAGGGCAGCCUCUGCCAGGGACACGGGCACGUGCCGUAUUGAUUUCUCCACUGGGCAGUGCUGAGAAAGGGCCUCAUCCUCCGUGAAGGCGGAGUUGAUAUAAUCCGCUCGGUCACGGGAAUUGUCAGGCGGGCUCAGCAGGCUGUAGGAUGACUGGGAGGCCAGAGGCGAAGUACUGACAGAGUGAGCCAUGACAGAGCUGUGCUGGGAGGCACUCCCCGUGCUCAGAUCAGGCCUCAUGCCACCAAUACUGGAAGUGCUGCUACUAGCAUUGGCGCUAGCGAUGCUGCCCACACCACCAGCGCUUGGGUUGCUGCCGCCACCACUGCCGCUGCUGCUGCUGCUGCACUGGCUGCAGGUGUACAAGGCGGUGGGUACUCUUUGCUGGUACUGCGCCGUCACGACGUUGCUCUUGGCUUUUGGAGGAAGUUGCAACGUGGCUCUCUGACCAUUCCACCAGCUGAGCCAUUUUCAAGGCUGCCUCUCUGCUGUUCCUCCGCAGAGUCGCGUGAAUGAUACUGCUGUCCAGCCUCUGCGUGAUGCUUCUGCCCUGGGCCAGCUGGCUGGCAAUGUCAGGGUAGGGCGGCGGGUCCCCGGGUUGGGAUGGAGUAACGGGGGACUGUGAGUCGGUUCAGGGUGGCGCUGGUGCAGGGCUGCUGCAUCUUCUUCUCAGCAGCGUGAUACGCAAGGUGGCAGAGCUGCCGGGCCCCGGCAGGGUGUAUGUGCUCUGGGCGCAGAGCAUCCUGGUGCGGGGCCGGCACACCUCCUCCACGUUCCCGCUGCUGUCGAACGUGGUUAUCCGCUCGUACCCCAGCGGUGUCUGGUAGUUGCCCUGGCAGGGUAGAGGGAGAACUCCCCCUUUUUCAGACAGAGGUCGAGGGGCGGCUGCGGGGGGCCGGGCGGUGGUGGCAGGGGCGGCAGGCGGCGCAGUGGGAUGGUGCCAGGGUAGGGUGGCGGCGGGUUCAUCUUGUUCAGCUGCAGCUCCGGAGUGGCCCCGAAGACGACGGCGUCUCCUUCCACCAGCUGUGGCGCUGGCCGCGGGGGCUUGGCCUUGGGCAGGGGCUCGUGCUCGCGGUCGCCGUGGUCCGCAGGUCGGCCAGGGUGAUGGCGGGGGGCGCGGGGGCGGCGGGGCGAGCGCCGGGGGCACAGGGGCAGCGCGGCCCAUGUCCCCUCCGGCGCCGGCCAGCGGCCCUGCCCCGGGCCCGGGAAGCGGCCCGGUGGGCCCGGGAACGGCCCC
rnacentral:lncRNA from 1 species